CUAUUCCUAAUCCAAAAGCGGGGAAAAUGGUAACCACUCGGUACACCCCUCCACCCCUCCUCCGUUGUUAAAAGAAAAAACAUUUUCCUAUCUCAUCUCUCCAUCCCACGAUUCCUCUCUGACCCGAGCUCCAUGGCCAUGACGCUGCCGCCAUGACCUCCAUUUGGGCCUAGCUCCGGCGCUCUUCUGCGUCGUUGCUCGCUGGCCUCAACUCCCCAUGAGUGCCAUCCUCAGAUCCUCCGUCGCCGCGACAUCCUCCGAGUCCGGGCCCCUGCACGUGCCCCUGCAGCAACCCGCCACCACGGGUCACCGGCGCGGCUCCUGCUCCUUCGGUUUUUCGGCUCACUGACCCCGGCGUCUCCGCACGAGCGGCUGCCGCCACUGGCUCAACCGUGCUGCUCUGCCACGGCUACCUCGACUCCCAUGCCAAAUGGUUGAGUGAGACACUCCUCCCCUCUGCUCUUAUCCUCUCUGGUCCUGUGUGGCAUACCUAGGUUUGUCGUCUGGCCUCGUAGAUUACGGCUGGAUAUAGCAAGAACCGCGACCGCUCUUCCUAUGGAGGUUGCCAUGGUCGCCUAUGGCCUACCCCACCGCUCACCUGGAUUUAUCUCCCUCAAGAACGUGGUUGUCCCAUUAUCCCCAAUAAUCCAUUUCCCCCCUAAUUUAACAACAUGGUGGCUUCUAUAAUUCCAUUGGCAUUUGGUGCCUAGCUUCUCUAAACUUCCACUUGUGCCAUGGAUGGACCAAUUAGAACGAGAUUGGAAAACAUCUCUGUCCCCUUCCAAUUAAAUUGGUCAAUGAAUAUUGGUACUAAUGUAUUUAAGUUAUGGCUAGUGAUCCUCUUUUACGUUGGAGGAAACCUGAUCCUCUAAUUUUGCUAUACAUGUUUUUGCUGGUGAUCCUCUGCUUUAGUUGUGCAGACCAUAAUAAUUGUGCGAUGCACCUAUACUAUCUGUAUGUAUUUUCCACAUGGCUAUCAUACUCUAGAGUGCCACAUCAUACUGCAGAAAAAUAAUAAUUUUACCUUGGAUGACUAUUCACCAGUCUUGUUUUGAUAUCAAUGCCUGCAUCUUUCGUGGCUUAUGUGGAGAGAAUCUAGUUUUCCGUUGAAACAGGGGUGAUUGCGCAUUAUUUAUUUACUCUUACAAAAGCUUCCGAUUUCAUGGAGAAAUCAAUACUACAAGUGCAUAACCUCUCCUUAUUCAGUAAUGUGAAGCAUGAGUAUACAUAACAGCACUACAAAGGUAUAUGAAUCAUAGUCUAGAUAUCUCACACUUGCCAGCAUGCGAAGUAUGUAGGUAAAAAUUUGAUUCAUCCGAACUAUUUUCUUUAGCUUCAGAUACUUCUAAAUACUUUAAUGUUUGUAUUUAUUUGCAUGCUAGGAUGAAUUGCAAUCAUAUUUGGACCAGAAGGAUGCAGCACAACAAAAACGCUUCACAGGAUGCCACACUGCAUCUUUUAUUCUCACUAGUAUUUGAAUUUUAAGUUGUUGCUUAGUGAACUAUGGUCUUGCAGGUUUCCCCUAAUAUUAAAGAUACAAAGCUACCUGAGGUAUUCAGCUUGCGAAUUUCAUGAGUGUUGGGAAGAUAAAUUGCCAGCAAUGAUGGGAGCACCUCAAUGACAUCACGUAGGCAGACACUUCCGCGGCACUUCCCCAACGUCCGCAACCAAAAUAGCAGGAUUAGCAGUAUACACAGGUUUUCACUGCUAGCUACGCCCGGCGGGCACAUGCGGUGGUCCGUGUCUCAGUACAAAACAGACACUGGUUCAGAGUUCUAACAUUUUCUUACAACAUGUAGCAUUCCUACCAUGCUCGUCAAGAACUUGUUUAUUACCCAAAGUAGUAUACUUAAUUGUUUGUAUUUUCUUCAUUGCUAGCAGAAGAUGAAGAGUAUGCACUUUAUUAUAGCGACAACUGGCAGGAACUAUCUUCAGGAUAUGGAGUUAUGGAUGGCAAGAGAUGCUGAUCGGUUUGGUUCGAGUUAAUGAAGAUUGAACAUGUCAGUCUAGAUGCUCAUGUCACGAGCUUAGGUUUUUGUUUUAUGCAACGAAGCUUUGAUCUGUUUUGUGUACAAAGCACAUGUGUUCUCGUUAAACACAUGUAUACAAGCUGAAGAUAAGCAAUGAAUGCCAUUCUGAUAUGCAAUACUUGGAACAAAGCAUAUCUAUAUACAUUAUCAUGUAUUCCUUGGAUGGUGCUCUUUGUAAAGCAACAUUAUUGAUUUAAUAUAUGAGAUCUUUUUUACUA